rnacentral:rRNA from 1 species
UACAGAGGUCUCAAGCGUUGUCCGGAUUUAUUGGGCGUAAAGAGCGUGUAGGCGGCCUGGUAGGUCUGCUGUGAAAACUCGAGGCUCAACCUCGAGAUGUCGGCGGAAACCAUCUGGCUAGAGUCCGGAAGAGGAGAGUGGAAUUCCUGGUGUAGCGGUGAAAUGCGCAGAUAUCAGGAAGAACACCUAUGGCGAAGGCAGCUCUCUGGGACGGUACUGGACGCUGAGACGCGAAAGCGUGGGGAGCGAACAGG